GAAACUGCGAAUGGCUCAUUAAAUCAGUUAUCGUUUAUUUGAUAGUACCUUACUACAUGGAUACCUGUGGUAAUUCUAGAGCUAAUACAUGCUGAAAACCCCGACUUCGGAAGGGGUGUAUUUAUUAGAUAAAAAACCAAUGCCCUUCGGGGCUCCUUGGUGAAUCAUAAUAACUUAACGAAUCGCAUGGCCUUGCGCCGGCGAUGGUUCAUUCAAAUUUCUGCCCUAUCAACUUUCGAUGGUAGGAUAGUGGCCUACCAUGGUGGCAACGGGUAACGGGGAAUUAGGGUUCGAUUCCGGAGAGGGAGCCUGAGAAACGGCUACCACAUCCAAGGAAGGCAGCAGGCGCGCAAAUUACCCAAUCCCGAUACGGGGAGGUAGUGACAAUAAAUACUGAUACGGGGCUCUUUUGGGUCUCGUAAUUGGAAUGAGAACAAUUUAAAUCCCUUAACGAGGAACAAUUGGAGGGCAAGUCUGGUGCCAGCAGCCGCGGUAAUUCCAGCUCCAAUAGCGUAUAUUAAAGUUGUUGCAGUUAAAAAGCUCGUAGUUGAACCUUGGGUCUGGCUGGCCGGUCCGCCUCAC
rnacentral:rRNA from 1 species